AGUCAGAUGCUUGUCUCUAGAGGCAAUAACUUGUCUGUGAUGCUACUACUUGGAUAACCGUGGUAAUUCUAGAGCUAAUACAUGCUAAAAAUCCCGACUUCGGAAGGGAUGUAUUUAUUAGAUUAAAAACCAAUGCCCUCUGGGCUCCUUGGUGAUUCAUGAUAACUCUUCGAAUCGCACGGCCUUGCGCCGGCGAUGGUUCAUUCAAAUUUCUUCCCUAUCAACUUUCGAUGUUUGGGUCUUGGCCAAACAUGGUCGCAACGGGUAACGGAGGGUUAGGGCUCGACCCCGGAGAAGGAGCCUGAGAAACGGCUACUACAUCCAAGGAAGGCAGCAGGCGCGCAAAUUACCCAAUCCCGAUUCGGGGAGGUAGUGACAAUAAAUACUGAUACAGGGCUCUUUUGGGUCUUGUAAUUGGAAUGAGUACAAUUUAAAUCCCUUAACGAGGAACAAUUGGAGGGCAAGUCUGGUGCCAGCAGCCGCGGUAAUUCCAGCUCCAAUAGCGUAUAUUAAAGUUGUUGUGGUUAAAAAGCUCGUAGUUGAACCUUGGGCCUGGCUGGCCGGUCCGCCUCACCGCGUGUACUGGUCCGGCCGGGCCUUUCCCUCUGUGGAACCCCAUGCCCUUCACUGGGUGUGGCGGGGAAACAGGACUUUUACUUUGAAAAAAUUAGAGUGCUCCAGGCAGGCCUAUGCUCGAAUACAUUAGCAUGGAAUAAUGAAAUAGGACGCGUGGUUCUAUUUUGUUGGUUUCUAGGACCGCCGUAAUGAUUAAUAGGGACAGUCGGGGGCAUCAGUAUUCAAUUGUCAGAGUGAAAUUCUUGGAUUUAUUGAAGACUAACUACUGCGAAAGCAUUUGCUCAGGAUGUUUUCAUUAUCAGAACGAAAGUUAGGGGAUCGAGACGAUCAGAUACCGUCGUAGUCUUAACCAUAAACUAUGCCGACUAGGGAUCGGACGAUGUUAUUUUUUGACGCGUUCGGCACCUUACGAGAAAUCAAAGUGCUUGGGCUCCAGGGGGAG
rnacentral:rRNA from 1 species